rnacentral:rRNA from 1 species
AGUAACACGUAAACAACCUGCCUUCAGGAUGGGGACAACAGACGGAAACGACUGCUAAUACCGAAUAAGUUCCAAGGGCCGCAUGGCCCAUGGAAGAAAAGGUGGCCUCUACCUGUAAGCUAUCGCCCGAAGAGGGGUUUGCGUCUGAUUAGCUGGUUGGAGGGGUAACGGCCCACCAAGGCGACGAUCAGUAGCCGGUCUGAGAGGAUGAACGGCCACACUGGAACUGAGACACGGUCCAG